GUCGCGUUAGCCGAGGAUCAGAGUUAUUUUUCGCUCCGACAACGCUGCUUUUAAAGUAGAAUUCUUUCGUGAAGAGGUGAUGAAAGUGUUCUUCCGGUUUGCGGUCAUGAAAACUGAGUUGGAUGGACUACAACACUCACUCACGCACGCCCGUCUGUCAACAUCCUCGUCUUUUUACAAACAUGUCUGAAAUCCAGCAGCUGAGGGACAUGUUGAAACUACAGCUAA